CGCCAGGCCCGCCGACUGGAGCUCACAGCCCGGGAGAGCCUUACGUCAUGAAGAUGCGGCGGCUCGAUUGGCCGCACGAGGCGUCCAGCCCGCCCUCUCCUCCCGGCCUAUCCGCGCGCGCGCGCGCACCCCUUCCUUUCGCCCCGGCGCCCGCGAUUGGAGCGGGCGCGCACGCAGCCAGCCCCCGCCCCGCGCACACCGCCCCGCCCCGUCCACGCUCCCCGGCCCCACCCCGCCCUCCCCAGGCCUCCACCGCGACCUGGGGAAGCGCUGAGAUCCGUCAGAGUACAGCCCCCGGCCCCCUCAUCCCGCGACUGCGUUCCCCGGGGCUCUCCUCUGGCGGUCGGCAUCCCAGGUGGAGGUCCGGCAGCCCCCUGAGCGGGCUGAGGAGAAGGCGGCCAGGUCGCAGGUGCCUCAGUCUCUCCUCGCUCUUGGGCCUGUCGGCUAUUUUCUCUAAGGUUUCAGGGGGAGCGCUGAAAAUUCGGGUAUCUUCCCAAACACAACCUUGUCACCCACCUCUGACCAUUUUGUGGGAAGAAAGAAACAUAAGAAAAGCAUGCACACCUUUUUUUAACUGGCUGCCUGAUUUUCUGUACAGCUGCUCUAAUUGAUUAUUGAUGGUAUAUAGACAUAUACGAAUUAGGCCAAAUUAUAGGAUUUGACCCCUCUUACAAGUGGCUUUCUGGGUCACCCUGCCCAGGCUUUUGGUGCACCCGUGCUUCUUAUAGGUCCUUCCCGACGUAUUCUGCAUUCUGCACUUACAGGAAUCUAUUGGUAGGGUCACAGUAUUGCUUCCUGCUCUGUGAUGUGUUUUCACAUCCUAGCUCUAAGAUAACUUGAAAGUUAAAUAACGAUAUUCAUAAGACUGUCUUUAAGGAGAAUAAUCACAUCAGGCUGAUAUUUCUUCUAACACUGAAAUCAUGCAUUAGAAGAUUUUAGAGGGGAAAAAACAAAAACGUUGAAAGCUCACUUUCCAAGAGAACCUGCCUGUUGGAUAUGUUGCAGAGCCCUUCUCAGGUGCCUCCUCUAAGCUUAUGUCUAAGCUUUGAGACUAAGGCCUCUGCUCUUCCCGGUGACAUCAUCCCUGGGCCCAGUGAUGGGGUCUGCCUGUGAGAGACCAGGAAUAAUUCUCUAAAGUUGGUAUGGAAAAAAUAUGACUCAGUUCCAUCCGGUAGUACAAUCCACUGAGCAACCCCACCAGAGGUGCUGUGGAUUUUCUGGGCAGUGAGUGACGUACACAUUCCAUCACAGGAUAUCAGCCCUGUCACAGUGUAACAGUGGAACUGUUAGGGUCACCGAAGGAGAGUGUUGUUCUGUGGUGUGGAUGGACCACAGCUUAGCUGUUCCCUGGUGGAAGACAUCUGGUUUGUUUCCACUGUGAGCUGUUACAAAUAAAGCUGCUAUGAGCAUUUGUGUACAGGUUUUUGUGUGAACAUAAGUCUUCAAAGAAGUACAAUUACUGCCCAGGUAGCAUGGCUCAGUGGUUGAGCAUUGACCUAUGAACCAGGAGAUCACAGUUCAACUCCCAGUCAAAACACAUGUCCAGGUUGUGGGCUCAGUCCCCAGUGGGCGGCGUGCAGGAAGCAGCCCAUCAAUGAUUCUCUCUCAUCAUUAAUGUUUCUAUCUCUCUCUCCCUCUCCCUUCCUCUCUGAAAUAAAAGAAACCCUAUAUAAUAAAGAGGUAAUAUGCAAAUUGACCCUCAUGCCAUCAUGCUAUCACAAGAUGGCUGCCCUGCCCAGCCCCUCCCCUGGCCCUACCCCUGAUCAGCCUCUCCUACCCCAAUUGAGGGUGGGGGGUUGGCUAGCACAGCCCCUCACCCAGGCCGGCCACAGCCCCACACUUUCCUGAGGCUGGGGAUACCCCAGGCAGGCUGCAGGCAAGGUGUUGGUCAGGGGUAAAGGUCCUGGCUGUCCCUGGCCUAGAGAGUCCAGGAAACCUCAGCAGUGACCAAGACCGAGUGGAAAGGUCCCUGCAGGCGUUUAUGACUCAAAAUACCAGGAGGAGGUGGAGCAUCUUGAACCUGCAACCCUGGUGUCUGCACACCAAGCCUGGGGGCACAGCAUGCCGGUGGUGCCUGUGUGUGAAAGGAGGAGAGCAGGGAGCUGGGUGCGGAGCUGGGAGGGGCCUAGAGUCUUCGGGAGCAGCCUGCCUGCUGAGGCUGCUGUGACCUGCCCGCUCAGGCUGGUCAAAGCCCCUGGUCAGCUCUGCCGCUUGCCUUCCAGGGUGGCUAGUCCUGAGCCGGCUGGCGUUGCACUCAGAGAAGCAGCUGUCACUGGGCUCAGUUA